GACGAACGCUGGCGGCGCGCCUAACACAUGCAAGUCGAACGGAGCUGAGAGAAGCUUGCUUUUCUUAGCUUAGUGGCGAACGGGUGAGUAACGCGUGAGUAACCUGCCCUGGAGUGGGGGACAACAGUUGGAAACGACUGCUAAUACCGCAUAAGCCCACGAUCCGGCAUCGGCUUGAGGGAAAAGGAUUUAUUCGCUUCAGGAUGGACUCGCGUCCAAUUAGCUAGUUGGUGAGGUAACGGCCCACCAAGGCGACGAUUGGUAGCCGGACUGAGAGGUUGAACGGCCACAUUGGGACUGAGACACGGCCCAGACUCCUACGGGAAGCAGCAGUGGGGGAUAUUGCACAAUGGGGGAAACCCUGAUGCAGCGACGCCGCGUGGAGGAAGAAGGUUUUCGGAUUGUAAACUCCUGUCGUUAGGGACGAUAAUGACGGUACCUAACAAGAAAGCACCGGCUAACUACGUG
rnacentral:rRNA from 1 species